rnacentral:rRNA from 1 species
GACGAACGCUGGCGGCGUGCCUAAUACAUGCAAGUCGAACGCUUCUUUCCUCCCGAGUGCUUGCACUCAAUUGGAAAGCGGAGUGGCGGACGGGUGAGUAACACGUGGGUAACCUACCCAUCAGAGGGGGAUAACACUUGGAAACAGGUGCUAAUACCGCAUAACAGUUUAUGCCGCAUGGCAUAAGAGUGAAAGGCGCUUUCGGGUGUCGUUGAUGGAUGGACCCGCGGUGCAUUAGCUAGUUGGUGAGGUAACGGCUCACCAAGGCCACGAUGCAUAGCCGACCUGAGAGGGUGAUCGGCCACACUGGGACUGAGACACGGCCCAGACUCCUACGGGAGGCAGCAGUAGGGAAUCGUCGGCAAUGGACGAAAGUCUGACCGAGCAACGCCGCGUGAGUGAAGAAGGUUUUCGGAUCGUAAAACUCUGUUGUUAGAGAAGAACAAGGACGUUAGUAACUGAACGUCCCCUGACGGUAUCUAACCAGAAAGCCACGGCUAACUACGUG